AGAGUUUGAUCAUGGCUCAGGAUGAACGCUAGCGGCAGGCCUAAUACAUGCAAGUCGAACGAUACCAGAGAGCUUGCUUUCUGGGAAAGUGGCGCACGGGUGCGUAACGCGUAUGCAACCUACCUUAAUCAGGGGGAUAGCCUCUCGAAAGAGAGAUUAACACCGCAUAAAAUCACACUUCGGCAUCGAAGAAUGAUCAAAUAUUUAUAGGAUUAAGAUGGGCAUGCGUGACAUUAGUUUGUUGGUGAGGUAACGGCUCACCAAGACUACGAUGUCUAGGGGAUCUGAGAGGAUGACCCCCCACACUGGUACUGAGACACGGACCAGACUCCUACGGGAGGCAGCAGUAAGGAAUAUUGGUCAAUGGGGGCAACCCUGAACCAGCCAUGCCGCGUGCAGGAAGACGGCCCUACGGGUUGUAAACUGCUUUUAUACGGGAAUAAAUCAUGCUACGUGUAGUGUGUUGAAUGUACUGUAAGAAUAAGGAUCGGCUAACUCCGUGCCAGCAGCCGCGGUAAUACGGAGGAUCCAAGCGUUAUCCGGAUUUAUUGGGUUUAAAGGGUGCGUAGGCGGCCUAUUAAGUCAGGGGUGAAAGACGGUGGCUCAACCAUCGCAGUGCCCUUGAUACUGAUGGGCUUGAUUACACUUGAGGUAGGCGGAAUGUGACAAGUAGCGGUGAAAUGCAUAGAUAUGUCACAGAACACCAAUUGCGAAGGCAGCUUACUAAGGUGUCAAUGACGCUGAGGCACGAAAGCGUGGGGAUCAAACAGGAUUAGAUACCCUGGUAGUCCACGCCCUAAACGAUGAAUACUCGAUGUUAGCGAUAUACAGUUAGCGUCAAAGCGAAAGCGUUAAGUAUUCCACCUGGGGAGUACGCCCGCAAGGGUGAAACUCAAAGGAAUUGACGG
rnacentral:rRNA from 1 species